rnacentral:lncRNA from 10 species
UAAAAAUACAAAAAUUAGCUGAGCAUGAUGGCAGAUGCCUGUAAUCCCAGCUACUCGGGAGGCUGAGGCAGGAGAAUCGCCUGAACCCGGAAGGUGGAGGUUGCAGUGACCCAAGAUCACGCCAGUGCACUCUAGCCUGGGCAAGAGGACGAGACUCCAUGUCAAAAAAAAAAAAAAAAAAAGAAAGAAAAGAAAAGAGAGUGAUACGGAGAUGAAUGUGUAAGAGGGAAGGAGGAUGUGGUAAAGUGAAUAGCUCAGAUGGGUCCUUAGAGGAGCGAAGAGAGAUGGAGACAAAUGCGAGAAGGAAGGAGGAUGUGGUAAAGUGAAUAGCUCAGAUGGGUCCUUAGAGGAGCGAAGAG